rnacentral:rRNA from 1 species
UACAGAGGGUGCGAGCGUUAAUCGGAAUUACUGGGCGUAAAGCGCGCGUAGGCGGCUUUGCAAGUCGGGUGUGAAACCUCCAGGCUCAACCUGGAGACGCCACUCGAUACUGCUGUGACUAGAGUUCGGUAGGGGAUCACGGAAUUCCUGGUGUAGCGGUGAAAUGCGCAGAUAUCAGGAGGAACACCGGUGGCGAAGGCGGUGAUCUGGGCCGACACUGACGCUGUAGAGCGAAAGCGUGGGGAGCGAACAGG